UACGUAGGGUGCGAGCGUUGUCCGGAAUUAUUGGGCGUAAAGCGCACGUAGGCGGCUUUUUAAGUCAGGGGUGAAAUCCCGGGGCUCAACCCCGGAACUGCCCUUGAAACUGGAGAGCUAGAAUCUUGGAGAGGCGAGUGGAAUUCCGAGUGUAGAGGUGAAAUUCGUAGAUAUUCGGAAGAACACCAGUGGCGAAGGCGACUCGCUGGACAAGUAUUGACGCUGAGGUGCGAAAGCGUGGGGAGCAAACAGG
rnacentral:rRNA from 1 species